rnacentral:ncRNA from 1 species
GAGCUGGGUUUAGAACGUCGUGAGACAGUAAACAAUUGGACCUUGCUGUCUAUAAAUUUGGCUGUAUGCUGGAAACUCCGAGUAUCCGGUGGUACUGCGUUUUGAUUAUCAAGACGUAUGUGACAAUCCAUCCGGUGCGGACAAUCAGCAGGAAACCCCAAUUAUUGGGGGAUCCUCAGAGACUAUACGCCAAACAUCAAAUUAUAAUUGAUGAAGAUAUAGUCCGAACUGCAUGGCGACAUGUAG